CUCAGAUAAAGCACAUGCGUGUGCCCCUGUGUGUGUAGUGUUCUGAGUGUGCCUGCAUGUGGUGUGUGUGCCAUGUGUGUGGUGUGUGUAUCAUAUGUGGGUUCCGUGUGUUUUGUGUGUGUUGUGUGUGUGGUGUGUGUGUGGGCUGUGUGUCAUGUGUGUGCUGUGUGUGUCAUCUGGGUGUGUGUGUGUCAUGUGUGGGAUGUGUGUGUCGUGUGUGGAGUGUGUGUGUCAUGUGUGGGGUGUGUGUGUCAUGUAAGGGGUGUGUGUAUCAUAUGUGGGUUCUGUGUGCCAUGUGUGUGGUGUGUGUGUUGUGCGGGGGCUGUGUGUGUCAUGUGUGGGGUGUGUGUGUCAUGUGUGGGCUGUGUGUGACAUCUGUGGGGUGUGUGUGUCAUGUGUGGGUUCUGUGUGCCAUGUGUGUGGUGUAUGUGUUGUGUGUGUCAUGUGUAGGCUGUGUGUGUCAUGUGUGUGUUGUGUGUGGGCUAAAUGUAUCAUAUGUGGGUUCUGUGUGUCGUGUGUGGAGUGUGUGUGUCAUGUGUGGGGUGUGUGUGUUGUGUGUGUGGUGUGUGUCAUGUGUGGGCUGUGUGUAUCAUCUGUGGGCUGUGUGUGUCGUGCAUGUGGUGUGUGUGUUGUGUGUGUGUCAUAUGUGGGUUCUGUGUCGUGUGUGUGGUGUGUGUGUUGUGUGUGGGCUGUGUGUGUCAUGUGUGUGAUGUGUGUAUCAUAUGUGGGUUCUCUGUGUCAUGUGUGUGGUGUGUGUGUUGUGUGUGGGCUGUGUGUGCCAUGUGUGUGGUGUGUGUAUCGUAUGUGGGUUCUGUGUGUCAUAUGUGUGUCAUGUGUGUGGGCUGUGUAUCAUGUGUGGAGUGUGUGUGUCAUGUGUGGGGUGUGUGUGUCAUGUGUGGGGUAUGUGUAUCAUAUGUGGGUUUUGUGUGUCAUGUGUGUUUUGUGUGUUGUGUGUGGGCUGUGUGUGUCAUAUGUAGGCUGUGGUGUCAUGUGUGUGCUGUGUGUGUGUUGUGUGUGGGCUGAAUGUAUCAUAUGUGGAUUCUGUGUGUCAUGUGUGUCGUGUGUGUGGUGUGUGUGUCGUGUGUGUGUCAUAUGUGGGUUCUAUGUGUGGUGUGUGUGUCAUGUGUGGGCUGUGUGUGUCGUGUGUGUGGUGUGUGUGUCAUGUGUGGGGUGUGUGUCAUGUGUGUGGUGUGUGUGUCAUGUGUGGGCUGUGUGUGUCAUGUGUGUGGCGUGUGUAUCAUAUGUGGGUUCUGUGUGUUGUGUGUGUGGUGUGUGUGUGGGCUGUGUGUGUCAUGUGCGCGCUGUGUGUGUCAUCUGGGGGUGUGUGUCGUGUGUGUCGUGUGUGUCAUGUGUGUGUCAUGUGUGGGGUGUGUGUCAUGUGUGUGGUGUGUGUGUCAUGUGUGG
rnacentral:lncRNA from 1 species